rnacentral:rRNA from 1 species
GUAGUCCACGCCCUAAACGAUGUCUACUAGUUGUCGGGUCUUAAUUGACUUGGUAACGCAGCUAACGCGUGAAGUAGACCGCCUGGGGAGUACGGUCGCAAGAUUAAAACUCAAAGGAAUUGACGGGGACCCGCACAAGCGGUGGAUGAUGUGGAUUAAUUCGAUGCAACGCGAAAAACCUUACCUACCCUUGACAUGGACGAAAUCCCGGAGAGAUUUGGGAGUGCUCGAAAGAGAAUCGUUACACAGGUGCUGCAUGGCUGUCGUCAGCUCGUGUCGUGAGAUGUUGGGUUAAGUCCCGCAACGAGCGCAACCCUUGUCAUUAGUUGCUACGAAAGGGCACUCUAAGGGGACUGCCGGUGAUAAGCCGAGA